UGGGGAAUUUUCCGCAAUGGGCGAAAGCCUGAUGGAGCAAUGCCGCGUGGAGGAAGAAGGCCUGUGGGUUGUAAACUCCUUUUGUCAGGAAAGAAGAUCUGACGGUACCUGAGGAAUAAGCUCCGGCUAACUAUGUGCCAGCAGCCGCGGUAAUACAUAGGGAGCAAGCGUUAUCCGGAAUGAUUGGGCGUAAAGCGUCUGUAGGUGGUUCGAAAAGUCUACUGUCAAAUACGUUGGCUCAACCAACGGCAGGCAUUAGAGUACUAUUGAACUAGAGUAUGGUAGAGGUAGAGGGAAUCCCUAGCGUAACAGUGAAAUGUGUAGAUUUUAGGGAGAACUCCAGCGGCGAAGGCG
rnacentral:rRNA from 1 species